CGAUUCGCUCCCUCGCCGCCGCCGCCCCGUCUACCAUUAUUGGCCUAGAUGGGAAUUUGUCCUUGCUGAUUUGCCAUGGCCUGAUUGCUUAUGUUUCUCUCUUGUUGAUGCAAACAUGCUCUGCUUGACUCUGUUUUGGCCUCAAGGUGCAGGCUGUGUGUGUGUGUGUACCUUGAUUCAUAUGAUUCUUCGGUGACAGAAAGUUUUUCAUGGAGCACCUUUUCGUGCUAAUGUUGGCUUCUAAUGUUUGUUGUUGUACUUAUGCUACCAGAGAUAAUGCGGGUGUCCUCCUUGCUUAAGCAACAUCAUGGUGGGGACCUUCAGAGGUUGCCGUCAGUGGCGAGUCCAAACCAGAUGCAUCAUCAUCUGCCGCCACCAAUGCCUAAUUUCUGUGGAAAUGGUUUUGGCCCGUGGAACCACGGUGCGCAUCUAGAGAUUGUCUUUGAGAAUAAUUUGAUGAACCACCAUGUCGCUCUUCAAUCUGGUUCCAUGGGAAAGUAAAUUACAUCGCUCGAGCGGGUCAACAUAGCCUACAGGAUACAUUUCUAGAGCUGAAAUUUCAGGGCAUCAAGAAGUAAUUAACUAUGCUUCAAGCAAGGAAGUUAUUUGGUAUAACUUUUUUGAGGACUAAUUUACUAGCUUAAUGUUUGGAAGUUAAUGAGCUGCAGAUAUGGCAUGUGCGUACACGAAGACCUGAUGCAUCAAAGCUCGGUGUGGACACCUCUUCUUACAUGACAUGUUUGUCGACAACUUAUCCGAGCUUCAAUUUCCAGAAUAAAACACAUGUUUUUAUUUAUUAUGGUUUCUUCUCUUAGAUGACCAAACAUUUUGCAGAUGUUGAUUUUUCAUUUCCUUCCAACGCCAUUAAAUCCCAGUGU